rnacentral:rRNA from 1 species
UACGGGGGGAGCAAGCGUUGUUCGGAUUUACUGGGCGUAAAGCGCGUGUAGGCGGCUGCCAAAGUCGGGUGUGAAAGCCUUGAGCUCAACUCAAGAAUGGCACUCGAUACUUGGUGGCUAGAGGACCGGAGAGGAUAGUGGAAUUCCCAGUGUAGUGGUGAAAUACGUAGAGAUUGGGAAGAACACCAGUGGCGAAGGCGGCUAUCUGGACGGUUUCUGACGCUAAGACGCGAAAGCGUGGGGAGCGAACAGG